GAAUCCGGCGCCAUCUAGAGUCUCGAGAGUUCGGUGAUUAAUAGCAGAGAAAAACCAGAGCGGUCAUCACGUCGUUUUAGGUGUUUUCAUCCAUCAGCGCCUCUAUGUGCACAAAAAUGUGCACAUUGAACUAUGUAGUCAAAUGUCUAUGAAUCCCGUAGGUAUACCUACCAAGCUGAAAAGAACAAGUUUUAUAACGGAAAUGCUUGCUGUGUGGCAAAAAUUAAGCAAUGCAUGGUGGCCAAUAAAUUUAUUAUGAGAGCGAAAAAUUGAUUGGUUAUUGUUACGCAACUCGUGUAGAUGCCAUAAAAGCGAUGGCAACCUCGCGAUUCGCGAUAGCGAAGCUAUCCUUUCCACUCAGCUUCCUUUUAGAAAUUGUCCGGCCGUUACUGCUUUAAUAUUUUUACGUGACUGGAUUUAAUAAGCCGAGAUGUUUGCGCUAUGUAAUUUUCGUUGAUAGCAAGACUGAGGAAAAAUGCUUCAAUUCUCGAUAACAUCUGAUCUGAAAGAUCAACGGAAUCCGUAGGUCGUUCAUCCACGUAAAUAAUUCUCGUGAUGCAUAUACAGAAGACUUGUUUGUAAAAUCAUUCUACUUUGAUAUGGCAAGAUUACUGGAAAAAAAAUUGAUACGAGACGCAAAAAUCUUAUCAGCAAUUCUUCUUCACCUUUGAUCAGACGUCAUCGUCCAGGAGAAAUAGCUGACGUGGAUAUACGUACUAUAAUUAACCCUCGAAUCCAAUCUACGAUGGGUAGUUUUCGUCCUGCUUAAAAUAUAUUAUCCUUAAUUUUUUGUACAACCGUGAUACUAAACAAGGGGGGGGGGGAGUAACGUAAUAAUGGUAGUUUUUUUUUUUUAAGGGAAAUGUUUAAAGAGUACAUAUGAAUUUUUUCAGAUUUUUAAAAUCAUCAUUUUAUACUUAUACGGUUAUAGAGGCAAAGACGAAAACGACCAAUAGAUUGGGUUAGAGUGUGCUGAAAAACACGGUUGGGAUUAAUGGUUAAAACACGCGAUUAAAAAAUUUUAAAUAUUAUUAGAACAAAGAUCUAGGGACUAAAAAUUACGAUAUCUUAAAUGACUUAAAUACAACUUUUAUGUAAGAUGUAAAAAUAAAAAGGUUCAUCUACUAAUUUGUUUUUUCUUCUACAUUAGAUGAACCUUUAUAUAUAUAUAUAUAUAUACUUCAACUUAAGAAAAUAAUUCAUGAGAAAAAAUAAACGUUAAAUUUUUGUAUUAUAUCAAUUAAUAAUUUUUACAAAUAAUAACAAUGCAAGAGCAACUGUAAAUCGUAAUUGUGUAUGUAAUCUUUAUGUAACUGUUUUCGAUGGGACGAGAUCUUUUGGAAGUAUUGGUGAAAUGAACGCUGCAAGAGUUGCGAUGUAAUUAUACUUGAUGGUAAAAUAAAAAUAACAAUGUAAAAUUA